AUACGUAGGUGGCAAGCGUUGUCCGGAAUUAUUGGGCGUAAAGCGCAUGUAGGCGGUAAUUUAAGUCUGUCGUGAAACUGCGGGGCUCGGCCCCGUAUGGCGAUGGAAACUGGGUUACUUGAGUGCAGGAGAGGAAAGGGGAACUCCCAGUGUAGCGGUGAAAUGCGUAGAUAUUGGGAAGAACACCGGUGGCGAAGGCGCCUUUCUGGACUGUGUCUGACGCUGAGAUGCGAAAGCCAGGGUAGCGAACGGGAUCAGAUACCCCGGUAGUCCUGGCCGUAAACGAUGGGUACUAGGUGUGGGAGGUAUCGACCCCUUCCGUGCCGGAGUUAACGCAAUAAGUACCCCGCCUGGGGAGUACGGCCGCAAGGCUUAAACUCAAAGGAAUUGACGGGG
rnacentral:rRNA from 1 species